CCUACGAGUGGCAGCAGUGGGGAAUAUUGCACAAUGGGGGGAACCCUGAUGCAGCGACGCCGCGUGAGUGAAGAAGUAUUUCGGUAUGUAAAGCUCUAUCAGCAGGGAAGAAAAUGACGGUACCUGACUAAGCAGCCCCGGCUAACUACGUGCCAGCAGCCGCAGUAAUACGUAGGGGGUAAGCGUUAUCCGGAUUUACUGGGUGUAAAGGGGGCGUAGACGGUUAUGCAAGUCUGAAGUGAAAGUCCAAGGAUCAACCAUGGGACUGCUUUGGAAACUGUAAAACUGGAGUGCAGGAGAGGUAAGCGGAAUUCGUAGUGUAGCGGUGAAAUGCGUAGAUAGUAGGAGGAACACCAGUGGCGAAGGCGGCUUACUGGACUGUAACUGACGUUGAGGCUCGAAGGCGUGGGGAGCAAACAGGAUUAGAUACCCGAGUAGUC
rnacentral:rRNA from 1 species